rnacentral:tRNA from 1 species
GAGGCAUAGCUCAGUUGGUUAGAGCACCUGCCUUACAAGCAGGGGGUCACUGGUUCGAGUCCAGUU